CUACUGCAGGUGAACUUCGUCCGGACUCCUACGGGAGCCGGGCUCCGUCCUCGACCUCGACUACUGGUAAAUUUCGUCCGGACUUCUAAGGGAGCCGGACUUCACCCCUGACUUUGAUUGCAGGUAAACUUCAUCCAGACUCCUACGGGAGCCGGACUUCGUCCCCGACUUCCACUGCAGGUAAACUUCGUCCAGACUCCUAGUGGAGCCGGACUUCGUCUCCGACUUUCACUGCAGGUGAACUUCGUCCGGACUCCUACGGGAGUCGGACUUCGUCCCCGACUCCUACUGCAGGUGAACUUCGCCCGGACUCCUACGGGAGCCGGGCUCCGUCCUCGACCUCGAUUGCAGGUGAACUUCGUCCGGACUCCUAAGGGAGCCGGGCUCCGUCCUCGACCUCGACUGCUGGUAGACUUCGUCCACUCCUACGGGAGCCGGACUUCGUCCCCGACUUCCACUGCAGGUAAACUUCGUCCAGACUCCUACGGGAGCCGGACUUCGUCCCCGACUUCCACUGCAGGUGAACUUCGCUCGGACUCCUAUGGGAGCCGGGCUCCGUCCUCGACCUCGACUGCUGGUAAACUUCGUCCGGACUCCUAAGGGAGUCGGACUUCUCCCCUGACUUUGAUUGCAGGUAGACUUCGUCCAGACUCCUACGGGAGCCGGACUUCGUCCUCGACUCCUACUGCAGGUAAACUUCACCCGGACUCCUACGGGAGCCGGACUCCGUCCUCGACCUCGACUGCUGGUAAACUUCGUCCGGACUCCUAAGGGAGCCGGACUUCGUCCCUGACUUUGAUUGCAGGUAAACUUCGUCCAGACUCCUACGGGAGCCGGACUUCGUCUCCGACUUCCACUGCAGGUGAACUUCGUCCGGACUCCUACGGGAGCCGGACUUCGUCCCCGACUCCUACUGCAGGUGAACUUCGCCCGGACUCCUACAGGAGCCGGGCUCCGUCCUCGACCUCGACUGCUGGUAAACUUCGUCCGGACUCCUAAGGGAGCCGGAUUUCGCCCAUGACUUUGAUUGCAGGUAGACUUCGCCCGGGCUCCUACGGGAGCCAGAUCUCAUCUCCGACUCCAGCUGCGGGAAGACUCCGUCCGGACUCCCACGGGAGUCGGACCUCGUCCCCGACUUCAACUGAAGGAAGACUCUGUCCGGACUCCUAUGGGAGCCGAACUUCGAGCUCCUCUCAGACGGGUAACUAGCCACCUCUCUCCGCCAGACACUCCAGCUGGACUUCGGCCGACAGACCU
rnacentral:lncRNA from 1 species